rnacentral:tRNA from 1 species
UUAAUUGAAGCUAAAAAUUAGUAUAUUAUUGUUAAUAAUAAAUAUGAAAAAUAAAAUUUUCCAAUUAAA